GACGAACGCUGGCGGCGUGCUUAACACAUGCAAGUCGAACGGUAAGGCCCCUUCGGGGGUACACGAGUGGCGAACGGGGGAGUAACACGUGGGUGAUCUGCCCUGCACUUCGGGAUAAGCCUGGGAAACUGGGUCUAAUACCGGAUAGGACUCCGGACUGCAUGGUCUGGGGCGGAAAGCUUUUGCGGUGUGGGAUGGGCCCGCGGCCUAUCAGCUUGUUGGUGGGGUGAUGGCCUACCAAGGCGACGACGGGUAGCCGGCCUGAGAGGGUGACCGGCCACACUGGGACUGAGAUACGGCCCAGACUCCUACGGGAGGCAGCAGUGGGGAAUACUGCACAAUGGGCGCAAGCCUGAUGCAGCGACGCCGCGUGAGGGAUGACGGCCUUCGGGUUGUAAACCUCUUUCAGCAUCGACGAAGCGAAAGUGACGGUAGGUGCAGAAGAAGGACCGGCCAACUACGUGCCAGCCGCCGCGGAUA
rnacentral:rRNA from 1 species